CCGAGGAGGAGGAGGAUCCUAGGACCCAGUUUUCCUGUUAAGUUACCAAUCCCUCUCUGAGUCGAAGAACAGCAGAAAAUUCAUGCUCUGGGAAUUAAAGGGACUUGAGAGCUGUCCCGGGGGAGAGAAAACAACCUCAGCCCUCUCUCACUACAGCAACUUGAGG